rnacentral:lncRNA from 1 species
GAUCAACUCUCUCACCCUCCUACCAUGAACUCUAGCUUCUGGCUCUACUUCUCCACCAUGUCUCCUGCUUUUCUCCCCUGUUUCUCGGCUGAAGGUUUGAGGAGAGUUGAGGGUAGGUUGGUGAGGUUCGUUAGUUUGGGGUUCUUCUAUUACUGGUGCUACAUUUGUCGGGGUGUUAAGGCCUCGUUGCUGCAUUAACUGCCCCAGCCACUGAGCAGUGUUUUGCAGUUGGAGGGCGAUGGUUUGGAGGUCCUGGUUGGACAAGGCAGCGGCGGAUAUAUUUCCUGCCAGGCUUGGUGAGGGAUUGAAAGGAAUGGAUGGUUGAUUGUUUGGAGUUAUAGGACUCAAAAAAGAGAACUGUUGCCCCU